AGCUCCAAUAGCGUAUAUUACAGUUUUUGCAGUUAAAAAGCUCGUAGUUGGAUUUCUGCCAGGGUGCCAAUGUCCGCCGAUGUGCGUGCGCAGCGGCGCCCUCGCAUCCUUCUGUUAACGCCUCUCGGCAUUCACUUGCCGGUGGUGGGCUCAGAUAAUUUACCUUGAGAAAAUUAGAGUGUUUCAGGCAGGCUAGGCCGGAAUACAUUAGCAUGGAAUAAUGGAAUAGGACUACGGUCUCGUUGUUGGGUUGAGGGACUGCAGUAAUGAUUAAUAGGGAUAGUUGGGGGCAUUAGUAUUUAAUUGUCAGAGGGGAAAGUCUCAGAUUUGUUAAAGACUAACUUAUGCGAAAGCAUUUGCCAAGGAUGGUG
rnacentral:rRNA from 1 species